rnacentral:rRNA from 1 species
CCGAGUUGUAAUUUAGAGAAGCGUCUUCCGCGCUGGACCGUGCAUAAGUCUCCUGGAACGGAGCGUCAUAGAGGGUGAGAAUCCCGUCUUUGGCACGGACCCCCAGGGCUUCUGUGAUGCGCUCUCGAA